AACACUGUUAACCUGCGGUACCUGCGGAAGGAUCAUUAAACAACUAGGCCGUAACAAGCCUUGAACCCUUCUCUACGCGCACCUUUACCUUCUCCUUCGGCGGGUCAGCGCCCGCCGUCGGAACCAACAAACCCCCUUUUGCAUCUAGCAUACCACCCGUUCCGAUACAAAACACAAUCGUUACAACUUUUAACAAUGGAUCU
rnacentral:misc_RNA from 1 species